UUCCUUCCAGUCAACAAGGUACAUGUGCCUUGUCAACUGGAAGGUUUUCCUUCCAGUUGACAAGGUAAAUGUGCCUCAUUGACCGGAAGGCCAAUGAGGUACAUGUGCCUUGCCAACUGGAAGGGUUUCCUUCCUGUCAACCAGGUACAUGUGCCUUGUUGACUGGAAGGAA
rnacentral:miRNA from 1 species